ensembl:lncRNA
UGGAAGACGUGAAUCUGAAACGCAGAAAUCAGAGCGCGGCGGGCAGCCGGCUCUGGCAUCCCGCUGGUGCGCGCUCUGCUCGAGUGGUGCUUUCAGCACCAAGCACCAAUACAUCACUGUUAAAAGCCCGUGUGCACGCAGGAUUAGUAAGAGCAGCUGUAACCUGAAAACCAAAAGCGAAAUUGAUUUAUAGCCAUGGUUACUCAAAAUGCUCAGACUUUAAUCUAUUCAUAGGGAUGCUCUGAAAGUCCCGCAGGAUUCGGAUGCAGUGAGAAGGAGAUAUCCUGCUGGGCGGGCAGUGUUUGUACACCUUGCUUGCACAGCAACAGUUCUCCCAUGCGGCUAAAAGCUGUGGGUGGCAGCACGGUGGCCCGGAUAACCCUGUGGUUAACACCUUAUGAGCUAAAUGACAGAUGCCAGCACAAAGCAUUACUCCACUGAAAAUAUUUGUCGAAAAGUGAGCCGGCAGCUUUAGGGAGCUUUGGUGAAUGUGCAAAACGUUUUGCUAUUGUCCAGGCUCGAUAAUGGGAGAGGACAUUGAGGAGUUCUGCAGGAGACAGCAGUGUGAGAAGAGGUAGAUCCCCAUGGAGCACAAACAGAGGGCCUCAAAUUGCCACCACAGCAGCAGAGGUGCAGCAGGUGGGGAAGAUGAAGGUCACAAACAUAGCUUGGAAUGAACACAACUGAGCUACAGUUCCCUUUAGGUUACAGAGGACAGACACGCUGCUGAGCCAUGCAUGCAACUGCUUCCCCACAACUAAUGGCAGAUGAAGGAAAGUGCAAACAUCCACAGUGCUCGGGUUUGAGGUGCUCAAGUGCCACAACUUGUUUCAUCCAUAACCAACAUAGAAUCAUAAAAUCAGUAUGAUUGGAAAAAAUCUCUAGGAUCACCAAGUCCAACCCCAGCCCUUCUCCACUGACCCAUGUCAUCAGUGCUACAUCUCCAUGUUUCUUGAACACCUCCAAGGUCAGUGACUCCAUCACUUCCCUGGGCAGUCUGACCCAAGGCUUGACCGCUUUUGGAGAAGAAAUGUUUCCUAAUACCCAGCCUAACGCUUCCUUGGUGCAACUUGAGGCCAUGACCUCUUGUCCUAGUGCUGGUUACCUGGGAGAACAGAAUGACCCUACAGUCCUUUCAGAAGUUGUAGAGAGCAAUAAGGCCACCCCUGAGCUUCCUCUUCUCCGGACUGAACCAUCCCAGUUCCUGCAGCUGCUCCCUGUAAGACUUGUGCUCCAGUCCCUUCACAGCUUCACUGCCCUUCUUUGGACACAUUCCAGGGCAUUUUAAUGAAUCCCGCUCUCCGCUUCCAUUGGCUACAAUCACUGUUUAAGGGAUCUCCCUGCCCAGAGGCAGGACCUGUGCAAUCGCUGCAGCCCCACAGCACUGUUCUGGGACAGAGCUUCAGACUGGGAGGCCCCAGCUGUGCCCCAGGACUGUGGGCAGACUGCCUAGCAGUCCCCAGCCUUGUGCAUCUAUGAGUAGAUUUAGCAUUUUCACAAAGGGAAGGGGAGAAUCAAGUCUAACUCCUGCUCAGCAGCAGCAGACAAAGCAAUCGUUAUGCCAAGACUUAGCUCUUAAAUCCCUCCAGAUCUGGUGUUCAUGGAGCAUAAACAACCUUUGCCUCACAGCUUCACUGAGCUGUGCCUCCCCACUUCCCAAGCACUGCAGCGCAGACCCUUCAGUGCCCAUCCUCUCCCCAUCCUUUUGCUGAGACAGGCGUGCCAACAAGAAA